UACGUAGGGUGCAAGCGUUGUCCGGAAUUAUUGGGCGUAAAGAGCUCGUAGGCGGUUUGUCGCGUCUGCUGUGAAAACUCGGGGCUUAACUCCGGGCCUGCGGUGGAUACGGGCAGACUAGAGGCAGGUAGGGGAGAACGGAAUUCCCGGUGUAGCGGUGAAAUGCGCAGAUAUCGGGAGGAACACCGGUGGCGAAGGCGGUUCUCUGGGCCUGUACUGACGCUGAGGAGCGAAAGCGUGGGGAGCGAACAGG
rnacentral:rRNA from 1 species